CCUGGGCUUUACCUCUCCAUAAAAUAGAGAUCAUUGCAUCCACAUCUUAGUGCCCUUGUGAGGACCAGAAGAAGGAAGAGCCAUUCAGUAAAGGGUGCUCAAUAAGGAGCAGCUUCAAGUGUUUUAGACUUUCUGACUGUAGGGGUAAAACCCUCCUGAUAUAAUUUUCUUCCUGUGUAUGAUUUUCUCCAUUGGGGAUUCUUUAGGUCCAGGUUCUGUCCACGGUCAAGAAGGUCUGCUUAAGGGAGAAAUGAGCUCUUUUUCAGAAGCCACUGGAGGAAAGGAAGACCAACAUUUCUAGAGAGGUAAAGAAUGUAAUAGCAGUGUAAUCUACCAACCAGUCCUGGGUUAAGGAUCUGAGAGAAACUGAUCACGACUCAGUCUGAGGCCUAUCAGUGACAAAGAUGACCUUUGCCCAGACACUAGGCAUGACUGAGCUGCUGAACAAGGUUUUAAUCCAGGAAGUGUUGAAAGAGCCUAAUAAAUAACCUACUCCAUUCAGUCAAAUCCAAGCGUUUGAAGAAAAAUGCAAAGUUUGUUUUUUUUGCCCCUCUACUAUGUGAGAUGUGACUGAGGGAAACAGCAAACUGGACCCGCCAAAAGAUGCUCCCAUGGUUGAUGGCCCCCCAGAGUCCCAGCUGGGCCUUGGACACUUGCUCUCCUGCACGGGAGCAGGAAAUGCUCCCAGGAAGGACAGAUUAACUGGCCACACAGGGUACCCUUCGGAAAGGGAGCCGGAACUGUGCUUUGCACCUCAGCCAUUUCUGGCCCAGCAGACACCAACCCGGAGAACGCCCUGUGCUGUGAACUGUGAGGAAGACACUCAUUUACUGAACAUGCAUUUCUUCGGGGCCCUCUAUGUGCUAGGCCUAGCGUUGUGUGCCCACUGCUCACCAUGCCGAUGAUUACAGAGGAUACAGG